CACGUAGGGCGCAAGCGUUGUCCGGAAUUAUUGGGCGUAAAGAGCUCGUAGGUGGUUUGUUACGUCUGCUGUGAAAUCCUAGGGCUUAACCCUGGGCUUGCAGUGGAUACGGGCAGACUAGAGGUAGGUAGGGGAGAAUGGAAUUCCUGGUGUAGCGGUGAAAUGCGCAGAUAUCAGGAGGAACACCGGUGGCGAAGGCGGCAUCCUGGACCGACACUGACGCUGAGGCGCGAAAGCUAGGGGAGCAAACGGG
rnacentral:rRNA from 1 species